CGUUUUUAUUGUCAUUAUUUUGUUUUACGAGCUUUAAAUGUUGAACUUGAAUGGCAGUAUUUGUCUCUUUAACUCCCGAAUAAUUGUCCCUUUUCUCCGCGCCGAUAAUCAGAUAUCGGGGCGUCGCUUUAAAGCGCACCUGUGCGAGUCCUACGCGCUCAACGAUCAUAUGAUGCAAUUUCCCGCAAUCGAUAAGGAGCUUCUUUACUCGCAGGUUCUCCUGGGGGGUCUAGAGCAGUGGUUUUUAUGACUAAACAAUGUUAGAAUAACAAUGUAUUUGUGUAUUUAUAAGCUUGUUUAAUCUUUGUUGACGCUUUUCAUAGCCGAUAGAGAUUUUCCUGAUAAAACCACGUCUUCUACACGUUUUGUUUCAGGUUAGCGGACCAAUUGGAUGGCUCGUAGACGAGAGGAGCGGCAGGUGGGGGUCAUGUGACCCAGCUUCCUGUGGUGUCAUAUGACCCUUUGUUCAUCUGUAUUCCGGAAGCUUCUGGAAUAACCAAACGCACCAGAGCACAAACAUCAAGAGGCCUUGCGGGGAGUGGGGUGGUGACUGAAGAAUGCAAGGGCUGCUGUCAGAUGAGUGGUAUUUGGCGCGUGAGAAGGUCCCCAGGGUGUCCUCGCCGAAGGCCGUCCCUCAGUGUCACCAAGCCAAAAGGGAUUUCCCACAUAUUUUGGGUGUUUGCCAAAUGCCAAAUAUUCAGUGAAUUUGCUGGAUCCUGGGAGGAGGUUGAGGUCACGUCGGACACAAUCAGAUAAAAAAACGACAGAAACCAGCACUUCAGCUGAACAAAAGCCUCCAUUUCCUUACAGCAACACACCACAAAAAAUAAAAACCCUCAAGGGCCCUCCUUCAAUGCACUCCUUUUUUUCUAAAAACGCGGCUUCUCCGAAAACAGCCUUAAGAGACGCGUAUUUCAAUCGAAUAAAGUGGUACGAUCCUGCCUCGUUGUUUAUCGACGGAAAGAUGAGAUGCCGUAUCGGCUGGGGUCCGCUGAUUGAUUUCGGAGGAGAGUCAAGCGAACAUCUCUGCACGUCCCGGUCUACAGGAAACCCUGCAGUAUACCAUUCCGACACAAAGCGAUGAAUUAUAUGGAUCUGGAUGGCAUUUUGCCUGCUUAACAGGGUGCGUGUCUAACAAGGGCAUGUAGGUAGGAACAUACAGAAAUCAAGCAUUUCUGGACACACUUUAUUCAUUACUUGGAGUAUAUUUCUUUCCAAGGCCAGAAGCUUCACUGCAGGACAGUGAAAAAGGUACAGCCCUGGUACAGUUUUGUACUCCAAGGUACAAACAAUAUUAAUGUACCCCAAUGGUACAGA